AGUGAACGCUGGCGGUAGGCCUAACACAUGCAAGUCGAACGGCAGCACAGUAAGAGCUUGCUCUUACGGGUGGCGAGUGGCGUACGGGUGAGGAAUACAUCGGAAUCUACUUUUUCGUGGGGGAUAACGUAGGGAAACUUACGCUAAUAUCGCAUACGAUCUACGGGUGAAAGCAGGGGAUCUUCUGACCUUGCGCGAUUGAAUGCGCCGAUGUCGGAUUAGCUAGUUGGCGGGGUAAAGGCCCACCAAGGCGACGAUCCGUAGCUGGUCUGAGAGGAUGAUCAGCCACACUGGAACUGAGACACGGUCCAGACUCCUACGGGAGGCAGCAGUGGGGAAUAUUGGACAAUGGGCGCAAGCCUGAUCCAGCCAUACCGCGUGGGUGAAGAAGGCCUUCGGGUUGUAAAGCCCUUUUGUUGGGAAAGAAAAGCAGCAGGUUAAUACCCCGCUGUUCUGACGGUACCCAAAGAAUAAGCACCGGCUAACUUCGUG
rnacentral:rRNA from 1 species